rnacentral:rRNA from 1 species
CCCCAAACCGACACAGGUGGUCGGGUAGAGAAUACCAAGGCGCUUGAGAGAACUCGGGUGAAGGAACUAGGCAAAAUGGUACCGUAACUUCGGGAGAAGGUACGCUCUUGACGGUGAAGUCCCUUGCGGAUGGAGCUAUUGAGAGUCGCAGAUACCAGGUGGCUGCAACUGUUUAUUAAAAACACAGCACUGUGCAAAAUCGUAAGAUGACGUAUACGGUGUGACGCCUGCCCGGUGCCGGAAGGUUAAUUGAUGGGGUUAGACGUAAGUCGAAGCUCUUGAUCGAAGCCCCGGUAAACGGCGGCCGUAACUAUAACGGUCCUAAGGUAGCGAAAUUCCUUGUCGGGUAAGUUCCGACCUGCACGAAUGGCGUAAUGAUGGCCACGCUGUCUCCACCCGAGACUCAGUGAAAUUGAAAUCGCUGUGAAGAUGCAGUGUACCCGCGGCUAGACGGAAAGACCCCGUGAACCUUUACUACAGCUUGGCACUGAACAUUGACCCUACAUGUGUAGGAUAGGUGGGAGGCUUUGAAACCGGUACGCCAGUAUCGGUGGAGCCGUCCUUGAAAUACCACCCUUGUAGUGUUGAUGUUCUAACUUAGACCCGUUAUCCGGGUUGAGGACAGUGCCUGGUGGGUAGUUUGACUGGGGCGGUCUCCUCCCAAAGAGUAACGGAGGAGCACGAAGGUGGGCUAAUCACGGUUGGACAUCGUGAGGUUAGUGCAAUGGCAUAAGCCCGCUUGACUGCGAGAAUGACAAUUCGAGCAGGUGCGAAAGCAGGUCAUAGUGAUCCGGUGGUUCUGUAUGGAAGGGCCAUCGCUCAACGGAUAAAAGGUACUCCGGGGAUAACAGGCUGAUACCGCCCAAGAGUUCAUAUCGACGGCGGUGUUUGGCACCUCGAUGUCGGCUCAUCACAUCCUGGGGCUGAAGUCGGUCCCAAGGGUAUGGCUGUUCGCCAUUUAAAGUGGUACGCGAGCUGGGUUUAGAACGUCGUGAGACAGUUCGGUCCCUAUCUGCCGUGGGCGUUGGAAGAUUGAAGGGGGCUGCUCCUAGUACGAGAGGACCGGAGUGGACGAACCUCUGGUGUUCGGGUUGUGUCGCCAGACGCAUUGCCCGGUAGCUAAGUUCGGAAUCGAUAACCGCUGAAAGCAUCUAAGCGGGAAGCGAGCCCUGAGAUGAGUCUUCCCUGACCCCUUGAGGGUCCUAAAGGGUUGUUCGAGACUAGAACGUUGAUAGGCAGGGUGUGUAAGCGUUGUGAGGCGUUGAGCUAACCUGUACUAAUUGCCCGUGAGGCUUAACCAUACAACACCC